GAGUUUGAUCCUGGCUCAGGAUAAACGCUGGCGGCGCACAUAAGACAUGCAAGUCGAACGGACUUAACCGAAGUAUUUAUAUUUUGGAGCGGUUAGUGGCGGACUGGUGAGUAACACGUAAGCAACCUGCCUAUUAGAGGGGAAUAACAGUGAGAAAUCAUUGCUAAUACCGCAUAUGCUGUGAGUAUCGCAUGGUACAAACAGGAAAGGAGCAAUCCGCUAAUAGAUGGGCUUGCGUCUGAUUAGAUAGUUGGUGGGGUAAUGGCCUACCAAGUCGACGAUCAGUAGCCGAACUGAGAGGUUGAACGGCCACAUUGGGACUGAGAUACGGCCCAGACUCCUACGGGAGGCAGCAGUCGGGAAUAUUGCACAAUGGAGGAAACUCUGAUGCAGUGACGCCGCGUGCAGGAAGAAGGUUUUCGGAUUGUAAACUGCUUUAGAUAGGGAAGAAAAAAGACAGUACCUAUAGAAUAAGCUCCGGCUAACUACGUG
rnacentral:rRNA from 1 species